GACGUAGGAGACGAGCGUUGUCCGGAUUUACUGGGCGUAAAGCGCGCGCAGGCGGCCCCGCAGGUCGGUUGUGAAAGCCCCCGGCUCAACCGGGUGGAGGCGAGCGAAACCGCGGGGCUGGAGGCUGGCAGAGGGUGGUGGAAUUCCCGGUGUAGUGGUGAAAUGCGUAGAUAUCAGGAAGAACACCCGUGGCGAAGGCGGCUCUCUGGGACGGUACUGACGCUGAGACGCGAAAGCGUGGGGAGCGAACAGG
rnacentral:rRNA from 1 species